rnacentral:lncRNA from 1 species
ACAGAGCCCCCGGCAGCCAAGCUACCGGGUGUCCUGGCCCCCUUCAGUUCCCUCCCUUGUCCUCCUCGAGGACCCCCCAACUCAGGCACCCACACCACGGGGGGCUGCGGGACCCCGAGCCUCACUCGUGCCACCGGCCACCCAGCGUCCCCUGCAUCUUCCCCGGGGACUCACACACCGCCUCGAGGCCACUCCGCCCCUCCGGAUGGAUGUCCAAGCCUCCAGCCAGGGCCCCUUCCCUGCUUCAUCUCCAGGGUUGACGGAGGUCGAAGGAGCACAUGUCUGCUUGCAGGGCACGCCAGGUCCUGAUGGACACUGACGUCUAGACCUAGACGGUGGCUCAGCCUGAACCCUGGACGGCCUGGAGCACAGCCAUGCAACUGCUUCUAAGACAAAACCGAGGUGGGGAUUAAAGCUACCCUCCCAGGCCGCCUGGCUGGAAACUCAUCCCCCUCUGUCCCCAGCCCCUGCAGCCCCCAUCACUGCCGCUGACAGCCGCAGGGUGUGGCUCACAGAGGGACAGCAGGGAGGGAGAGACGGACGGGGUGGGAUCCUGGGGGCCUGUGGCCUUCAGAGCGUCUCACUGCCCCAGCCUUGAUGGGGUUGUCUGUAGAGCGGGGAUUCAGCUGCCUGGUCUGUGGCGACUGUCCGGUGGCCCAGGGGGUGGACGUGACUCUCCUGUGCGACUUUGUUUUUCUGAGACGGAGUCUUGCAGUGGCGCGAUCUCGGCUCACUGCAACCCUCGCCUCCCGGGUUCAAGCGAUUCUCUUGCCUCAGCCUCCCGAGCAGCUGGGACUACAGGUGUGUGCCACCACACCGGCCUAAUUUUCUUUUCUUUUCUUUUCUUUUCUUUUUAUUUUUUGAGACGGAGUUUCACUCUUUCGCCCAGGCUGGAGUGCAGUGGCGUGAUCUCAGCUCACUGCAAACUCCGCCUCUCGGGUUCAGGCCAUUCUCCUGCCUCAGCCUCCUGAGUAGCUGGGACCACAGGCGCCUGCCACCACGCCCAGCUAAUUUUUUUUUUUGUAUUUUUUAGUAGAGACGGGGUUUCACCCUGUUAGCCAGGAUGGUCUCGAUCUCCUGACCUCAUGAUCCGCCCGCCUCAGCCUCCCAAAGUGCUGGGAUAACAGGCGUGAACCACCAUGCCCAGCCACGCCCAGCUAAUUUUCUGUAUUUUAGUAGAGAUGGGAUUUCACCAUGUUGCCCAGGCUGGUCUUGAACUCCUGGGUCCAGGCAGUCUGCCCACCUUGGCCUCCCAAAGUACUGAGAUUACAGGCAUGAGCCACCGGGCCUGGCCCCACGGUGUGACUUUGACCUCCUCAUGGGAGGAAAAAGCAGGAUGAAGCGGGGAUGAUGUCUGUCGGUCCUCAGCAGGAGCAUCUGCCAACGUCUCCACAUUGUGGACCUGAGAUUGUUCUCCGGAAGCUGCAGUCGGAGCAUCGCCAGGCCCAGCCCUGGGUCCUCCACCCGGGCCACUGCCUCUCAGGCGGCCUCUCCCUGCCCCCGCCCCUCCGGGGCCCCACAGGGCGGCCAGUGCAGACCUGGGUGUGCAACGGCCCCAUCAGCGUUUGUUUCAUGAACAAAUAAAUGUCUAAAUUCAGGACCCA